rnacentral:rRNA from 1 species
GCAGGCCUAACACAUGCAAGUCGAGCGGUAGCACAGAGAGCUUGCUCUCGGGUGACGAGCGGCGGACGGGUGAGUAAUGUCUGGGAAACUGCCUGAUGGAGGGGGGUAACUACUGGAAACGGUAGCUAAUACCGCAUAACGUCGCAAGACCAAAGUGGGGGACCUUCGGGCCUCAUGCCAUCAGAUGUGCCCAGAUGGGAUUAGCUAGUAGGUGGGGUAACGGCUCACCUAGGCGACGAUCCCUAGCUGGUCUGAGAGGAUGACCAGCCACACUGGAACUGAGACACGGUCCAGACUCCUACGGGAGGCAGCAGUGGGGAAUAUUGCACAAUGGGCGCAAGCCUGAUGCAGCCAUGCCGCGUGUGUGAAGAAGGCCUUCGGGUUGUAAAGCACUUUCAGCGGGGAGGAAGGCGUUAAGGUUAAUAACCUCAUCGAUUGACGUUACCCGCAGAAGAAGCACCGGCUAACUCCGUGCCAGCAGCCGCGGUAAUACGGAGGGUGCAAGCGUUAAUCGGAAUUACUGGGCGUAAAGCGCACGCAGGCGGUCUGUCAAGUCGGAUGUGAAAUCCCCGGGCUCAACCUGGGAACUGCAUUCGAAACUGGCAGGCUAGAGUCUUGUAGAGGGGGGUAGAAUUCCAGGUGUAGCGGUGAAAUGCGUAGAGAUCUGGAGGAAUACCGGUGGCGAAGGCGGCCCCCUGGACAAAGACUGACGCU